UUUACGGAGAGUUUGAUCCUGGCUCAGGACGAACGCUGGCGGCGUGCUUAACACAUGCAAGUCGAACGAUGAAGCCCAGCUUGCUGGGUGGAAGAGUGGCGAACGGGUGAGUAACACGUGAGUAACCUGCCCUGAACUCUGGGAUAAGCACUGGAAACGGUGUCUAAUACUGGAUACGACCUAUCACCGCAUGGUGUGUAGGUGGAAAGAUUUAUCGGUUCUGGAUGGACUCGCGGCCUAUCAGCUAGAUGGUGAGGUAAUGGCUCACCAUGGCGACGACGGGUAGCCGGCCUGAGAGGGUGACCGGCCACACUGGGACUGAGACACGGCCCAGACUCCUACGGGAGGCAGCAGUGGGGAAUAUUGCACAAUGGGCGCAAGCCUGAUGCAGCAACGCCGCGUGAG
rnacentral:ncRNA from 1 species